rfam:Oryza sativa Japonica Group DNA, chromosome 10, cultivar: Nipponbare, complete sequence.
UUUAAAUGCAGCCAUAUUUUUCCGUGCUUAACUUUAAUCAUCCGUCUUAUUUAAAAAAAUUUAAAACAUAAGUCACGCAUAAAGUAUUAUUCAUGUUUUAUCAUCUCAUAACUACAAAAAUACUAAUUAUAAAAAAAUUAAAUAAGACGGACAAUCAAAGAUGGACACGAAAACUCAUGGUUGCACUUAAA